GGCGAUGUGCCCCGAGUGGUCAGGGGAGAGCUUGCAACGCUCUUACGGUGGUUCGAAUCCAUCCAUCGCCU
rnacentral:tRNA from 1 species